GUCUCAGUUCGGAUUGUAGGCUGAAACUCGCCUACAUGAAGCUGGAGUUGCUAGUAAUCGCGAAUCAGCAUGUCGCGGUGAAUACGUUCCCGGGCCUUGUACACACCGCCCGUCACACCAUGAGAGUUGGCAAUACCCAACGUACGUGACCUAACCCGCAAGGGAGGAAGCGUCCUAAGGUAGGGUCAGCGAUUGGGGUGAAGUCGUAACAAGGUAGC
rnacentral:rRNA from 1 species